rnacentral:rRNA from 1 species
AUUGAACGCUGGCGGCAGGCCUAACACAUGCAAGUCGAGCGAGCGGCGGACGGGUGAGUAAUGUAUGGGGACUGCCCGAUCGUGGGGGAUAACUACUGGAAACGGUAGCUAAUACCGCAUACUAUCGGAUAACCCAUAUGGGAUUAGCUAGUAGGUGAGGGAAUGGCUCACCUAGGCGACGAUCCCUCGCUGGUCUGAGAGGAUGAUCAGCCACACUGGGACUGAGACACGGCCCAGCCUCCUGCGGAGGCGGCAGUGGGGAAUAUUGCGCAAUGGGCGCAAGCGUGAUGCAGCCGUGCAGCGUGUAUGAAGAAGGCCCUAGGGUUGUAAUGUACUUUCAGUCGUGGGGCGUUACCGACAGAAGAAGCACCGGCUAACUCCGUGCCAGCAGCCGCGGUAAUAC